CUUCAGCGUCCCCAGCCGCAGCGGCUGCCCCGGGGCGCGCCCCUGCCCGUACGUGGCGAGCAGCGCCUGCGCCUC
rnacentral:antisense_RNA from 17 species